AAGCAGAUGAAGUUGCAGUUUUUGUGCUAUGUCUGCUGCUUUUCUUACUUCCACUCUGUUUCUGAAGACAAAGUUAUUGGGGUCACCAACAAUAAUGCAAAACAUUGUAGUGUUAUGUCUUGGGAAAAAGUGGCAGCUUCAGGAAAUUAUGGAACAGAACAUAAUAAUUUCAGUUGAGAUCAGUAAGUUUUUGUUGUGGUAUAUCUAAGGCAAGCAGGCAAGAAGUUAGGUGAAUGCAGAAGGCCAGCAUACCAGGUGCCACAAAUGAGAAAACAGUGCCACAAAUGAGAGAGAUAAUUUGCACCUGUAGGGGAAUUGUUAUGACAGGGCCUGAACUGAUGAUUGAGCACCUGGUGAAGGGGGUGGCUGGCUCUGGAAGUACAGACACAAGUGAUUGACUUCAUUGAGGUGCUUCCCACCUCAUUGGGAGGGGUGAGCCACCCCUCCCUGGGCUCAUUUAAGGGCUAGCCUCCAAAGGGAGAUUGCGUCCUGGAUGAGGACUGCCUCCUGAGAAGGAAUGUUCCACUGUUAUGAGACGCUCAUCUGCUGGGCCACCGUGCUAGAUAAAACUUCUUUAAGGCACCUGAGAGAGAGAGGGAAAGAACACCUCCAGAGAGCAGCCUGCUGAUAGAACCUACUUCUAACAAUAUGAUUAAAAGCAUGAAAGAGCGCAGAGAAACACAGGAAGGCUUGUCUCUGCAGUCAGGCGGCGAUGAGGACAUGAGGAUGUAUAACUGUCCCAGGUGUGAGAACCUCACAGUUUACCCCCUCAGGACUUGUAACAGGCUUGCCAGAAGGAGAGUGAAAUAGGAGAUUCCAUUUAUUGGCCCUGGAGACUGACAAGGAACCGACACCUGUGCCCAAAUGUUUUCUGAACCUUGGCAGCAACAGGCAUAUUCAUUAUGCAGCAGUUGCAGAUCCAAGUGUGCUCAAGGCACGGGAGAGCAGCAACCUUCUCCCUUGCAAGGAAAAACAGGUUAAGUAGCAAAACAGCUGGUGCAGUGGAAUCCCUAACAUGUUCCAUCUUCAAGAAAACUGGUGCUUCUGACUGUGUGUCACAAGUGCAAGCUGCAAUUUAUGAAUAUAUUAUGUCAUUUGCACUACCAUGGUUACAGGAGGAAGGAGAAGUUUCUGUAGUGUGUCAGUUGCUCAUGGCUAAGGAAAGAGUGUAUUAUUGAUCUGCUUUCAUUUUAACGAGAAGAGUAUGGAAAUAUGAGUAAGAAAACUUGUGUUUCUUUCCAAGUCUUUUAUUUAAUAAAAAACAAAAAGAAAAAAGAAAAGAAGAGAAGAGAAGAGAAGAGAAGAGAAGAGAAGAGAAGAGAAAAGAAGAGAAAAGAAGAGAAAAGAAGAGAAAAGAAGAGAAAAGAUGCUCUUGUGGUCCAGAGCAGAAGAUGAAAGCUGGUUGGGCUUUGUUACUAAUGCGAGUUUGAAGGUUGAGCCUUGCAUAUGGCAUACUGAAGUUCGUGUCCUGUUAAAGGAAAAUUGAUCUUUCUGCACUACGAAGAAGCCUGUCUGUGCAGGAGAGGGCUUUCUCAGAGGCUGGUUUCGAUGACUCAAGUGGACAAUAUGUUUAUCUUCUUGGAUGGUGAAUAUAAUAAGCUGAAGUGAAUAUAAGAAGAUUGCACUGAAGGAGCAGAAAUAAUGUAGCAGAAACCUUUGGGGAUAUCAGAACUGUGACAAAACCCUGGCCUCUUCUGUUUCCAGCAUCAGCAAUGCAAUAGUAGUUGUGGUGUCUUGAAUUAGUUGGAUACUGCAAGCGUGGAGAGUAUUGAAUGAAAUCCUUUUCUGCAUCUUUAAUCUGUUUUACGAAGUGCAUCUUCAAAAGGCAGGUAGGAGGAAAGUACAGAGGAAGGCAACCUUGUUUUACGUGCGUUGGAUUCAGAGAAGAUCAGUCUAGAAGCAUUUCAAGCUGUAUCACCUUUGCUGGUCGGAAUUGGACUCCAAUAUCAGCAUGCCAUCUUUACACUUUCAUUACUUUUGUAGCAUUAAAAAAAAAUAAAUCUGAAUUCAGCAAAUUCUAAAGUUACUUAUUUUUAGGUUUGAGUCUAACUCAGACUUGGCAGGAAUGUGUCUUUAAAGAGCAGUGUAAGCAAUUAUUUAUCUGGAAUAAAGUUUGUUGGGAGUACUAGUUUAUAAAUUGUGCAAUCUAUUAGUUUGAUUUAUGUUUUAAAAAUUCCCAUGAAUAGUACAAUUAAUACUGAUUAUUACUCUUAAGGUCUUCUGCAGUUAAAUUUUUGGGCCCAGUAUGCUGAAGCAGCCUGUUUCUAGAAAUAUCUUGCACAGUAAGUUAUCUGUAAAGCUAGGCUACUCAGAUAAAGUGAAGUUAAGGGAUAGUUUUAUAAAAGCCUGCAUGCUUAAUUGUGUGCCUAAUUUGGUGAAGUAAUUAAUUCAUGUUAUGGAUAGAGACUAUAGUAAAAAUGACUGAAAAUAUGUAACUAGUUCACUGCAAAUCCCGGACUCUAAAUUGGCUACUUGCAUGCAUAUACAUGCUUCCACAAAUACUUGCAGCAAAUUGCAGGUAAAUUAAGCAUUAAGUGUCAGGCAUAUACUUGUGCUUGAGCAAAAUGAUCCUACCUUAGAAAAUAUUAGAAGAUUCACUAACUUUUCAUCUUUGUUCUUGUUUUUACAUUUUUGUGGAUUUGGCAACGUAGCACAUUAUUUUCGUGAAGAAAUACAGAGUGCAUCUCAUACUGUUCUUUACAGAAAUAUAUGAGGCUGCAUUUUUUUCUGGCGGUACUGAUAGCAGAAAAUCUCUCUUUUCUGUUGUUAAUGAUACAAAAUCGACUUUGCUCCUGUAUUCCCUACAGAAAAUAGUGCAUUAAAAAUAAUAGCGUUUAAAUUUGGAUGUGUUUAGGAAUGUCACAAUAAGAAGGGUUGGUCCAGUAUUCAGAAAAAGUAAGAUUUCUGCAAUGCUAUAAACACACACACUUACAUAGUCUCCAAUUUUUUACUUAUACAGCUCUGUUUAAUUUAAGACUGGAUUGAACAUGCUUGUUGCUGAAUCCACCACUGGGAAGACUGGUCAUUAUAUAAAUAUUACAGCCAACUUGGAUUUGCCAACAUCCCAAAUAAAGAAGAAUCAAGGAGAAUUUGAGUAGUGGCCUUUUUCCCUUCUUCUGAAGGAAAUAUUAUCAACUCAUUAGCUACAAGCCUGCAUGGAGGCCCCAACUGUGACUCUUAAAGCAAGAAACACAAUCCUUGUUGUUAAGAUUGACUUUCAGCAUGCCAGCUGUCCCUCUUUUGGAAUGGUUGACCUUAUUUUUCAAGUAGAACAUGUGCCAUCUUGAUUACCCAAACUCUUAAUUCAAUGCUGUUUAAUGCUUUGUUUCCUCAAAAUAUCCCUCAUAUUCAGCUUUGAUUGGUGGGUAGAUGUACCAGUACUGAUCAGCUUAAUUACCAGUGUGAGGUAGCGCAAGGCAGACAUGAGGUAGCAGCACACCUUUCCCAGCAUUCUGAGGUAAUUAACCAAAAAAUAUUUCCCUGCCACCUGUCUAGCCUUGGAGAAAAUCCAGUUUUCUUUCCAAGCUACGAGAACAGGGGAUCAUAGCAGAAUUUGGGAAGCAGGAUAGCUUACCCAUGUAUUUUCUGUUCUUCCUAGAGUCAUCUAUAGUGGUUAUUCCAGAAGCUCAGACUGCUGCUGUCUUUCUUUUCCUACUCCCAGCAUGGUUUCUGCAGCAAAGAAACUGUGAAGUACUAAGGGAGAAGUGCAGCUACCAAGACUUGAAACGUUUAAAGGAAGGCUGUGAUUCAGCAUGCUCCUGCUCAUGGACCUGAUGCACGUUUUGCCAGUUGCUGACUACUGAGAGACAUGAUGUAAAGAGGCCAGACCUGAACAAAUUCCCUUGGUUGUGAAUCAUGUGGAAGCUCUGUGGGGGAACUGCACCUCUUGUUCAGUAUAGACAGUUGUGAACCUGCUGACUGCAUCUUUCUCCAUCUUUACAAUAGAGAGAAAUAUGGGAAGAAAGAUAAAAGACUUCUGUGUAACUGAACUGCUUCAUAGAUGCAAGAGUCCUGAAGAAUUGUCCUAAAACUAUGUUCAUUGGCUCUAUCACAUCUUAAAUUGUAUUACAGGAAAUUCAUCUUGGUCAAGUUGGUAUACGUCUGUUACAUUGGUAAGUUAGGUCUUAGUGCACAUAAUUGACUAUGGGGGCAUUGCUCAUUUUCAUGUCUCAUAUAAACACUUCUCAUUUUCUCCUCCCUUCAAAUGCAGAAACCUUUGAAAAAAUAAAAUCAGUUUUCACCCACCCUUCGGUUCUUGUGACUCUAGCUUAUACUUCAUCUCAGUCAAUCAGUGUGUUGUUGUAAUGGAAGAAUUAUUUAGACUGAAAACUCCCUCUGCUAUCAGAAAGAGACUGCAGAUCUGACUCCACACUUCCUGCAUUUGUUGGUGCAGAGAGAAGAUUCCAUAGUGGUCACCGUUAUGUGGGAGGAGGAAGAAUUGUAGUGAUGAAAUGUGAGUGAUGGGACUGCAGUGAGGUACAGCCAGCUAUUUUAUUCUGGCUGGCAGACUGGAGAGGCAGCCUCUCUGAGUACAUCUAUGAUGAAACAGGAUGUUUCUCAGUGUGGGGAGGAGUGGAUUAAAGUGCAGGUGGAAGUAUGGUAAGAGGGAAUUAUGUGGCAUGAGAUAAGAUCUACUGUAUGCAGAAGAUACAAAGUGAGUCAGAGUUUGGCUGUUACAUGGAUAUAAAUGGGAUAGGAGCAAUAUAAGCUCUUGGACUUUAUAGAAGCUUUGAGUAAAGCAGUUAAGUAAGAGCAUUUAAGGCAUCUAGGAUGUGAAGUGAGAAAGCCAGAGAUAGUGAAAAUGUAGUGUGGUUACAUGGGAAGAUAAGAAGCAUCCUGAAAAGCAUGAAGUAUGAAGGAGAGAAAAUGAGCAUGCCCGUCAGCUACAUUGUAUAUGGAGAGAGAACAAGGAUGGCUUUAGAGCAAAGGGGCUAACUGAGGAACUGUGAGCAGAGGAAAGGUUGUAAACAAUCAGCAUCCAGGGCAUGUGGUGUUGGACCAGGGAACCAGGUGUGCCCCGUGGUUGAACAGAAUGAGACAGUGUUUUUAUACCUGCUGAGGAAUAGUAUGAAAACCAUCUGAAGCUGGAGCAGAAAGUUUAUUCAGCAUUUUCCUCAUGAAAAAUUAGUGUCAUUGCCGUAGCUGCGUUCUUGUUGCAUCACUCUACCUCAUUGUAUAUUAUCCCAAACUGCAGAUAACCAACGAUCUCCGUUGUGAUUGAUUUACACAUUAGACAUUUACUCUGCUUAUAUUCCUAUUCUAAAAUAUGCAACAACAUUGUUCCUGGCCAGCUGCAAGACUUGGUGAAAAUUUCAGUGCUUGGAUGUGGUGAUUUCUAUUUCUUGUAUCAGCCUUCUUAGGUAGUGGCAGGAAGCAGAAUCUCCAAAACCUGUCAAAGCUAUCACUCUUCUAGUUCAAAUGUUGACAGGUCUUGGUAAAGCACACUUUGAACAUGUCUGUUCUCUGUCACUGCCAUGAGUGUAAUGCAUGAAUCCAAAAUCACAAUGAUUUUAGAAGCAGACAGCAUGAGCUGCAAAAGCCUGAUCCUGUUAACACUUCCUUGGAUAAGUAUUUGAAAAGGGAUACUUUUGUGCUAGCGUUUUUGAGGGUAUUUCAUGUUUGUGAUCCUGAUUCUCAUUUCUUUUGAAUGUCUUGAUUCUUAUCUUGAUUCUUCAAAUAUUCUUUGUUUUUCUUGUGGCUUACUCAGUGUACUUGCUUAAGUUUUCAAGCCUUUUGCUAAAGAUGCUGCUACAGCGUGUCUAGAUAUCCAAUAAUGUGAUCAAUCGCUUCUCAGCUUCCACUGAGCUGAAUGCCAAAGUCACAACAGAUGUUGUCUGAAGGAAAGCAGUGCCAUUUAUUAUCACACUGGAUGUUAAAGAUAGAACCAUAUUCAUUGUAAGAAUCUGAUGAAGAAGCUCUUGAAUGCUAAUGCUGUCCUGUAAAAAAAAACUGUGCUAGAAGCCGUUGACAACAAUGACUGAUAAUGAGUGAAUGUUCAUGUGGUCUGUUACACAACACUAAGCUCUUAUUUCACUGUCUGCAGUUAUGUUCAGUAAGUACAAUAUGAACAUCAUCUCAAUUAACAGAGUACCUUUAGGGCUUUUCUUAGCCAACUAUUCUAGCACGCUUGUCCAUACUGUCAUCAGCACCUAAUCAACUAAUGAUGGCUGAAAAUGAGGAAGGCCAAUCCCAAUAAAUCCGAAGGAUAGUAAUUUUUCUCUUUUAAUGCCCUUCUCCCUCCUUCUUCCUUCUUCCUACGGCACAUUGCAGUAAAUUAAUGUCAUAGUGGUUAUUACAGUAGCGCUGCUAUGGCAAGUAUUCAAGCAACGAUUCUCAAAUAUUUUACCUCAGCAUUUAUUUGUCCAUAAAAUAAAAUAAGAUUUAUUACAGUACUCUCUGGUUUGAGGACUGCAUGGACAGCAGCUGUGACAAGUCCUUAUCUCCAGUACAGUUUUGCUCUUAUCUUUAGCAAGGACAUCCUAGCAACUGCUUCUUCAAGGUUACAGUGAGAUUCCUGGUGGGCCUUCAAACUCCUCUCUCUUGGAGAUGGGAAAAGAUGAUGGAAGCCGUAUGGACAGAUUCAGAGGGAGAGGAUAAGGGGACCAGGAGAAGCCCACAGAGAUCUUUCCUAAAGGAUGAGUGAGAUGAAACUGAAGGAAUUAACACCCACUGCCUUCUCCCUUCUUUGGACAGUGAAUACACAGACUUUAAAAAAAAGAAAGAAGAAAAAAAAAGUGUUUUGCUUUAAGUGAUGGUGCCUCCAAAUGCCCCCAUGAUGUCAUUUUCCAGCUUAAAGCAUCAGGUGUGGAGAAACAGAAGCAGCUCCAGAAACUGUUGAAUGGCAAAAGAACUCAAAUCAAUCAGAUGUUCUUCUCAUCAUAGAUGGCAAUAAGAUUCGCUCCCACAACAGAGCUGUUAUCCUGUUUUGGCAGAACAAUAGUAGACGCGAACUGAAGUACUGAGUUUGUGUACGCCGGGAG